rnacentral:misc_RNA from 1 species
UGUAGGGAUUGAGAUUCCAACACAGUAGCUUGGCCAAUAUUGCCUUUUGCAAACGAUGUGUAACCCCGAGGUAUUACUUUGUUGCAAACUUAAUCUCAGGCCUUGAUUUAAAAAUGUGAGAAACCAAAGUGCACUUUUUUGUAAUUUCCCCUUAAAUAUAACAAUGUUAUUACUAGAGAAAGUGUUAUGGUAGAUUGAUGUAAAGGAAAGUAAAAGGAGUGAAUGCAAAGAAUU